GGUGGCUCAGUGGUAGAGCAUUUGCCUUGCAUGCAUAGGCCCUGGGUUCAAUUCCUCAGCACCA
rnacentral:tRNA from 1 species